rnacentral:misc_RNA from 1 species
GCAGAUAUCUUAUGAGCCCGUUUAACCACUUCUGAAGUUUCAUGCUGCUCUAGAUUUUGAUUUGUACCAACAAGCUUCCUUUUAUUCACAAGCAUCAUAGCAGCCAUGCCUUUUCUCUUUGCGAUUGAAAGAUUCAAAAUUUGACCCAUGUUGUCGGCAGGAGCUUGUUCAAUUAACAUCUGCAUUGGCCAGCCCUUUGCUCUCAAUAUUCUUUCCUCAUC